ACCAUGCUGUCACUGCAGCUUUCCUUUCACUAAAGAAGAUAUUUACCAAAUAUAAAUUGCCCUCCAAUUUCUCUAAGAGAAAUUGAAAUUGUAUCUUUGCACUAAUAUCCCAAGUGUGCAAGUCCAUCCCCUCAGAGCAGCCCCACACUCUGAGCCCAGGGGAGAAUCCCAACUGGUUUGUGCAUUUGUAACCCUGGGGCCUGAAGCUGAUGAUAGAAAGGAAAGUGAGCGAUCUUGAAGCUUUCCAAUACCACCUGUGGGGAGCACAGGGAUUUGACUGAAUGAUGUCCUGGUUAAUUUUCACCUUGUUCUUCACCAGCAGCCUCCACUGGAGGGCUCAGGAGUGACGUGACCAUGGCAGCACCCUAUUUACAUAUUAAAAGCCGGCAUUUUGUGGCCAUUGGGGUGAAAUGGUAAGAAGUGAAUG